UACGAAGGGGGCAAGCGUUGUUCGGAAUUACUGGGCGUAAAGGGCGCGUAGGCGGCUUAUCAAGUCAGGCGUGAAAUUCCCGGGCUCAACCUGGGGGCUGCGCUUGAUACUGAUGAGCUUGAAUGCGGGAGAGGAUAGUGGAAUUCCCAGUGUAGAGGUGAAAUUCGUAGAUAUUGGGAAGAACACCAGUGGCGAAGGCGGCUAUCUGGCCCGUGAUUGACGCUGAGGCGCGAAAGCGUGGGGAGCAAACAGG
rnacentral:rRNA from 1 species